rnacentral:tRNA from 1 species
CAGAUUAUAGCAUAUAGAAAUGCCUUUUAUUUACACUAAAAAGAAAAUUAAAUUAAUUUAA